rnacentral:misc_RNA from 1 species
AUACAUUAUAUUAAUUUUAUUUUUCAAUGAAACACAACACUAAAAUGAUAAUUUUAAUUUUCACUACAUAUUUUAUUUAAUAAUACUUUACUAAACAUAACUUAAAAUAAUUUAAAUCUAAUUUUAUAAAUUCAUUAAGAAUAACUAUGUAUUUAUUGUAAUUUAAUUAAUAAAGAUAUGAAUAAUCCAUCAAAAUUCUAAUGUAAAUACACAACAAUUCUUAUUGAUAAAGAUUGCUUUGGCCCAUUAGAUUAGAAUCAAAAAAGGGUACUUUCUGAACACAGCAAACAGGAAAAAAAAAAUGGCGAGCAUGAAACCAUGAACUCUUGCAGAUCUGAGAUUCUGAAAGGGAAAGGAUGGGCAAAAGAAAGCAUAGAAGAGAAAAAUAAAUGAAAACCCAAAUGGGCCGGCUGGAAAUGAGUCUCGUGGAGAGGGAGUAAAGAGCAGGAAGAAAGAAAGGAAAAAAAAGAAGAAAAAAA